AUGGCAGUCCAGAGCUGCCUCCACAACACUGGGACCCAGGUGCUGACCAGGCCCAGCAGAGGUACUAGGCAAUGGCAGUCAGGGUAUGGAACCUGCCUGCCAAGUCAGCCCAGCAGAGGUGCGAGGCAAAGGCAGCCAGGGUAUGGGACCUGCCUGCCGAGUCAGCCCAGCAGAGGUGCGAGGCAAUGGCAGCCAGGGUAUGGGACCUGCCUGCCGAGUCAGCCCAGCAGAGGAGCUAGGCAAUGGCAGCCAGAUGUAGAAUGGGCAGAGCAGUUUUCAAGAGCUGUCAUGUACCUUUCCAAGGAAGCAGCCCAGGAACCUCUUCCUUGGGAAAAAUGGUGACCAUGACCGUGAACUUUGGGUCCCAGGCCCAGCAAUCCAUGGGAGUCAUGAGACUGGGGAUGGAACUGAGUAGAGAGAUGGUGGAUGGUGUAGAAGUAUGACCCUAACAUUGGGUGCCUGUACAAAGGCACUGAGAAGCUCACCGAGUACAAGACAAAUAGUAGAAAAGCUGUUCUAUACUUUGACUAGUUAAACUAUGUGUCCAUAAUGUGUAAGGAACAGGCCUAUUUGCUAGCUGUGGAGAACUCGCUAAACAUCCAGCCUGCUCCCGGGGCACAGUGGAUCUGAGUGCUGUUUGGAGAGAUCACAUGGAUUUUAAACCAUAUCUUGGUGUAACUACCCAUGUCCUAGAUAUUGGUGCCUUUCUUCUGAUGUUUGAAGAAAAAGAAAAGAUGUUUGAGUUCUCCAAGUGCAUGCUGUUUGUAUCUUACUAGGAAUGUGUCAGGACCUACCUCUUGGGCUUACGGAUGACAUUUAUGAGUUUUCCAAGAACUUCUUCAGAAUGAUGAGGUAGAGGAGAUGUUGACCAACAAUAGGAUCUAGCAAAAUAGAGUAGUUGACAUUGGGGUUGUAUCAGCAGAAGAUUCAUGUAACUAUGGAUUCACUGGCAUAAUACUCUGAAGCUCAGGCAUCCGGUGGGACCCAGCUCUAUGAUGUUUAUGACCACAUUGACUUUGAUGUUCCUACUGGUUCUUAGGGAAUUGGCAUACUAGGUUCUUGUGUUGUAUGGAAGAGAUGCACCAAUCCCUUCAAAUCAUCAAACUGUGUCUCAACAAGAUGCCUCCAGGGGAGAUCAAGGUUGAUGAUGUCAAAGUGUCUUCAUUAAUUCAUCACCUUAAACUGUAUAGUGAGGGCUACCAAGUUCCUCUAGGAUUCUCAUAUACUACCCCUGAAGCUCCUAAUGGAAUUUGGGGCUAUACUUUGUGUUGAAUGGCAACAGCUGCCCUUAUUGGUGUAAGAUCAGGGCUCCUGGUUUUGCCCAUUUGGCUGGUUUGGACAAGAUGUCUAAAGGACAUAUGUUAGUAGAUGUCGUAGCCAUCAUAGGUACCCAGAACAUUGUGUGGAAAAAUGGACCAAUAAGCAAAAGCACAGCCUUUGAUCUCCCUUGCCUUUCAGCUUCCUCUUGCAGACAUGUCCCUCAUGGAAAAUGA